rnacentral:rRNA from 1 species
UACGUAGGGUGCAAGCGUUGUCCGGAAUUAUUGGGCGUAAAGAGCUCGUAGGCGGUUUGUCGCGUCUGCUGUGAAAACUCGGGGCUUAACCCCGGGCCUGCAGUGGGUACGGGCAGACUAGAGUGCGGUAGGGGAGACUGGAAUUCCUGGUGUAGCGGUGAAAUGCGCAGAUAUCAGGAGGAACACCAAUGGCGAAGGCAGCUCGCUGGAACGGUACUGACGCUGAGGCGCGAAAGCGUGGGGAGCAAACAGG